GAAGAACAUGGCUAGAUACAGGGACCAUUUGAUAGCAAAAACAAUUGAGCGAAGAGAACGUGCUGCCAAAGAGGCUAUAGCUGCGGGGGCGCGAUCCCGAAAGUUACAAUCACAAAAUCACCCAAUAUGAUUGGCUCCUUCUUCCCCCAAGCAUACUCAAUUAACCAAUAUCGUAUGACGAGCUCAGGAGAUGGUCAUUGCACGUCAAGUGCUCCCAAGGAAGCCACUAGUGCCAAUAAGGAAGCUAAUGGAGUGGAGGGUAAAACUGUUUGAAAAUGUUUAAAGUCCAUUCCCUGUUGCCUCGUGAAGGAAAGAGAGUCCGUUUUGGUUCAUUAUCAGUAUUCAAUUCAGUCUCGUGUUUAACUAUUUUCUACCGAAUGUAUGCAUCACAUGCUUUUGUGAUUGGCGUAAGGAUGGAUCUUAAUCCAUCACAAACUGUUAUUGGUUGCGGUCCUUGAUCUUUAACGUUACAAUAUUUUACAUACAUCUUUAAAUAUAUGUUAGCAUCGCCAGUGGCAGAGCCAGGCCACGGUUUUUUAUUUGAAAUGAUAUUUGUUCCCAAUAAUUUUGGGUUUGGAUGGAUUAUUUAUGGAUCCUAAAAAA